AUUGAACGCUGGCGGCGUGCUUAACACAUGCAAGUCGAUCGGUAACGCGGGGGCAACCCUGGCGACGAGAGGCGGACGGGUGAGGAACGCUUGGGAAUCUGCCUAUCAGCGGGGGACAACACGGGGAAACUCGUGCUAAUACCGCAUACGCUCUACGGAGGCAAGCCGGGGACCGCAAGGCCUGGCACUGAUAGAUGAGCCCAAGCCGGAUUAGCUAGUUGGCGGGGUAACGGCCCACCAAGGCGACGAUCCGUAGCUGGUCUGAGAGGACGAUCAGCCACACUGGGACUGAGACACGGCCCAGACUCCUACGGGAGGCAGCAGUGGGGAAUAUUGGACAAUGGGGGAAACCCUGAUCCAGCGACGCCGCGUGGGUGAAGAAGGCCUGCGGGUUGUAAAGCCCUUUCGGUAGGGACGAAAGCUCUCGACCUAACACGUCGGGAGGUUGACUUAACCUACAAAAGAAGCACCGGCUAACUCUGUGCCAGCCGCCGCGGUAAAAC
rnacentral:rRNA from 1 species